CCUACGGGAGGCUGCAGUGGGGAAUUUUCCGCAAUGGGCGAAAGCCUGACGGAGCGACGCCGCGUGGAGGAUGAAGGAUUUCGGUCUGUAAACUCCUGUCAGGGGGGACGAUGAUGACGGUACCCCCAAAGGAAGCAUCGGCUAACUACGUGCCAGCAGCCGCGGUAAGACGUAGGAUGCGAGCGUUGUUCGGAAUUAUUGGGCGUAAAGCGUGCGUAGGCGGCUAUUUAAGUCUGGUGUUAAAGCUAGGGGCUCAACCCCUGUGUUGCACUGGA
rnacentral:rRNA from 1 species